rnacentral:rRNA from 1 species
GGGCCUGCACAAGCGGUGGAGUAUGUGGCUUAAUUCGAUGCAACGCGAAGAACCUUACCUGGCCUUGACAUGUAGUGGCCCGGGUGCGAAAUCACCCUUUUCUUCGGAACUGCUACACAGGUGCUGCAUGGCUGUCGUCAGCUCGUGUCGUGAGAUGUUGGGUUAAGUCCCGCAACGAGCGCAACCCCCCGUGUUCUGUUGCCACCCGGAUGAGAAUCCGGAGCACUCUGGACAGACUGCCUGGUUUAACCAGGAGGAAGGUGGGGAUGACGUCAAGUCAGUAUGGCCCUUACGGCCAGGGCUGCACACGUACUACAAUGCCCGGUACAAUGGGAAGCGAGACCGCGAGGUGGAGCAAAUCCUAAAAACCGGGCUCAGUUCAGAUUGUAGGCUGCAACUCGCCUACAUGAAGGAGGAAUCGCUAGUAA